AAUGAACGCUGGCGGCGUGGAUUAGGCAUGCAAGUCGAACGGGCUGUUCCUUCGGGGGCAGUCAGUGGCGCACGGGUGCGUAACACGUAGGUAAUCAACCCUCUGGUUGGGGAUAACACUUCGAAAGGAGUGCUAAUACCCGGUAUGGCGCAGCGGUCUUCGGAUCGCGGCGAGAAAGACCCGCAAGGGUUGCCAGAGGACGAGCCUGCGGCCCAUCAGCUAGUUGGCGAGGUAACGGCUCACCAAGGCGAAGACGGGUAGCUGGUCUGAGAGGAUGAUCAGCCACACUGGAACUGAGACACGGUCCAGACUCCUACGGGAGGCAGCAGUGGGGAAUAUUGCGCAAUGGGCGAAAGCCUGACGCAGCCACGCCGCGUGAGCGAUGAAGGCCUUCGGUCGUAAGACUCUGUGGGAGAGAAGAAUAAAGACCUGUGAGAAGCAGGCCUUGACGGUAGUCUCCUUAGCAAGCACCGGCUAACUCCG
rnacentral:rRNA from 1 species